CCUACGGGAGGCAGCAGUGAGGAAUAUUGGUCAAUGGGCGAAAGUCUGAACCAGCCAAGUAGCGUGCAGGAUGAAGGCCCUACGGGUUGUAAACCGCUUUUGCACGGGGAUAACACCCUCCACGUGUGGCGGUUUGCAGGUACCGUGCGAAUAAGGACCGGCUAAUUCCGUGCCAGCAGCCGCGGUAAUACGGAGGGCCCGAGCGUUAUCCGGAUUCAUUGGGCUUAAAGGGAGCGUAGGCGGGUGUUCAAGUCAGCUGUAAAAUUGCGGGGCUCAACCGCAAAUCGCAGUUGAAACUGGACGCCUUGAGUACACAUCAGGCAGGCGGAAUUCGUGGGGUAGCGGUGAAAUGCAUAGAUAUCACGAGGAACCCCGAUUGCGAAGGCAGCCUGCUGGGGUGCGACUGACGUUGAGGCUCGAAGGUGCGGGUAUCAAACAGGAUUAGAUACCCCGGUAGUC
rnacentral:rRNA from 1 species